AGCAGCCGCGGUAAUUCCAGCUCCAAUAGCGUAUAUUAAAGUUGUUGCAGUUAAAAAGCUCGUAGUUGAAUUUCGGGACCAAUUUGUUGGUCGUGCCUCGGUACGUACUGGUAUUAUUGGUUUCUCCCUUCUGAAGAACCUCGAUGCCAUUAAUUUGGUGUCGUGGGGAAUCAGGACUGUUACUUUGAAAAAAUUAGAGUGUUUAAAGCAAGCAUACGCUUGAAUACAUUAGCAUGGAAUAAUGAAAUAGGACGUUUGAUUCUAUUUUGUUGGUUUCUAGGAUCGACGUAAUGAUUAAUAGGGAUAGUUGGGGGCAUUAGUAUUCAAUUGUCAGAGGUGAAAUUCUUGGAUUUAUUGAAGACUAAACUACUGCGAAAGCAUUUGCCAAGGAUGUUUUCAUUAAUCAAGAACGAAAGUUAGGGGAUCGAAGACGAUCAGAUACCGUCGUAG
rnacentral:rRNA from 1 species